rnacentral:rRNA from 1 species
AGCGAACGCUGGCGGCAGGCCUAAUACAUGCAAGUCGAGCGGGCGUAGCAAUACGUCAGCGGCAGACGGGUGAGUAACACGUGGGAACGUACCCUUUGGUUCGGAACACACCAGGGAAACUUGGGAUAAUACCGAAUAAGCCCUUACGGGGAAAGAUUUAUCGCCGAAGGAUCGGCCCGCGUCUGAUUAGCUUGUUGGUGAGGUAACGGCUCACCAAGGCGACGAUCAGUAGCUGGUCUGAGAGGAUGAUCAGCCACACUGGGACUGAGACACGGCCCAGACUCCUACGGGAGGCAGCAGUAGGGAAUAUUGGACAAUGGGCGCAAGCCUGAUCCAGCCAUGCCGCGUGGGUGAUGAAGGCCCUAGGGUUGUAAAGCCCUUUCGGCGGGGAAGAUAAUGACGGUACCCGCAGAAGAAGCCCCGGCUAACUUCGUGCCAGCCGCCGCAGUAAAAC